GAUGAACGCUAGCUACAGGCUUAACACAUGCAAGUCGCGGGGCAGCAUGGGGGUUGCUUGCAAUCCCCGAUGGCGACCGGCGCACGGGUGAGUAACGCGUAUCCAACCUGCCCUUCACCACGGGAUAACCCGGCGAAAGUCGGACUAAUACCGUAUGUUGUCCAUUGACGGCAUCCGAUUUGGACGAAAGGUUUGGCGGUGAAGGAUAAGGAUGCGUCCGAUUAGCUGGACGGCGGGGUGGCGGCCCACCGUGGCGACGAUCGGUGGGGGUUCUGGGAGGAAGGUCCCCCACACUGGAACUGAGACACGGUCCAGAAUCCUACGGGAGGCAGCAGUGAGGAAUAUUGGUCAAUGGGCGUAAGCCUGAACCAGCCAAGUAGCGUGCAGGAUGACGGCCCUAUGGGUUGUAAACUGCUUUUAUGCGGGGAUAAAGUGGCCCACGUGUGGGUUUUUGCAGGUACCGCAUGAAUAAGGACCGGCUAAUUCCGUG
rnacentral:rRNA from 1 species